rnacentral:ribozyme from 1 species
GGUCGAUUUUUUUUUUUUUUUUUUUUUUUUUUUUUUUUUUUUUUUUCUACUUUUUUGUUUUUUUUCUUCUUUUCGCUGCAUGUGCAACGUUAAUGGUUAAACUUGAAGUAAGAGCUAGGGCUGUA